rnacentral:rRNA from 1 species
UCGUGGAGUGAUUUGUCUGCUUAAUUGCGUUAACGAACGAGACCUUAACCUGCUAAAUAGGAGCGUCUAUCUUCGGAUAAACGCCUUUCUUCUUAGAGGGACUUUGUGCGUUUCAGCAUGAGGAAGUUUGAGGCUAAAACA